UUGGUUUUUUCUUUAAUCUUUUUUUGAAGUUCUUUGUUUGGUUACUGAGAAAAUUUUGCAGCGAUUUCUUGAAACCCAAAAAGACAAGGUUUUUCGUAGUGGUGGAUGUUAAUUUUUCUUUUGUGUGAAUUUGAUUGUGAUUGUGAUUGGAGCCACUGCUGUGUUUGAGUGAUAUUUGAAUGAUUUUUUGUACUGUUUUAGUUUUGAUAAGCAAUUUUUUUUUUCUAAGUUCUUUGUUUGGUUACUGAGAAAAUUUUGCAGCGAUUUCUUAAAACCCAAAAAGGUAGAGAAUUAUGGUGGGAUUUAAAAAUAGGUACAUGAUUGUGGAAUUUUUCUUGGAUCCUAAUAGAGAUCUUGCUGGGCAUGAUCCCAUCAUUAUUACCCAAUUUAAUGUCUCAAAAGGGAUCAAAGACAGCAUUCUUGUAAACUUUGGAGAGUGUGGUCUUGCUUCAUCACUUGGAUCCUUCCAAGUCAAGUAUGUGAAUCCCACCACAAAGCUUUGCAUCAUUAGAGCUUUAAGGGAAGAGUACCAAAAGGUUUGGUCUGCCAUCACCAUGGUUAGGAGUACUUGAAAUUGCCCUGUGCUAUUUAACUUAUUGGACCUAAGUGGGAGUAUAAAGGCUUGUAGAAAUGUAGCCUUGUAGUAUGAUGAGCUAAAAUUUGAGCAGUACAAACUUGUACUUGGGGCUUGUCUCGCCAUCGAUGCUAUUCAGCACAUGCAAAGCUGUCUAGACAAGAUCAAAGUUUUGGAGCACUGAAAGUAUUGCUAAGAUCAAAGGGGGUUGGGGGUGGCUUAAUCAAUGGAUCCCAGACUCUCAGCCCACUGCCAAUACAUCGAUCCCAUUUAAAUCCUCCCUCCACAGUACUCCACCCUCACAUCACAUACCAUUGGCAAAUACAAAAAGAAAAGCAAUAUGAAAGCCACUUGACUUUGCUUUUCUCUUGGUCAUUCUUCCAAUUUACUCAGUGUGAAAACGGAGACUAGUUCUGAACAUGAAGCUAAGGUUGAGGAUAAGCUACAGGUUGUUCCUUCAACUAAAACCAAAGCUCAGUGAGUAUAAACUCUGCCACUCAAUGACAUGCUGCUUUGGAGUGGAUAUUGUCUGCUGAGUUGUCUUUUUCUAUUGAAGGUUUAGUCUUGGUUUCUAAAGAGAAACGAUGUGUCGUUAUUCAGAGUAUAUUGGCCUAUGACUGGUCGUUGUAAUUAUUGAUUAGUGAAGAUAAUUAGUUUCAGUCAGUUUAACAGUUAGCUAGAGAUUCAGUUCAGUUUGUUGGAGAUUAAGCUUGAGUAGUUAGUAAAUAUUUUCUGGUUUACUAUCCUACUCACUGAUAUAAAAAAAAUAUAUGUUUUGGGGACUCUCUAUGUUUCAAUGGAGAUUUCCCCCCCCUUUAUUAAGUUUGGUUGCUGUCAGAACUGUGGAGCCAAUUGUGUUUUUGUGUCUGUUUUUGUUAUUUAACAUGAACAACAGAACAUGAUUUUGUUUCUGUAUUUCUCUGUUUAUGGGGCAUGAGGCUAUCUAUCUUAUUGAUUUGGGGUC